ACGGUUGGGCGUUUUGCUUUGAUCAAUCUGUAGAGAAAGAAACGAUGAUCACAACGGUAGAAAAAUCAAAUUGAACGGGAAUCGAGAAGUGCCUCAUUGGAGGCAUUUUUCGAAAUACCCUGCGGCGGCGCUGCCGGGCUUUGCCAGCAUUUUUCGGCUAAUCAGCCGGUCCUUUUGCUCCAAUUUGAUCAUAAGUGUGUUCAAAAUUAAAUUCUGAGCAAAAGUGAAAUUUUUACCUCGUUUGGCGGUCGAAAAUUGCUCCGGUGCGGCGGCGGGUGGCGACGGUCAGCUCCCCGGCGACUAGACUAUCUUCUCUGGCAAGGGGUUCUGGUGGCUAGGGUUAGGAUUUGAGUGCGGAUGGGGUUAUUUAUACCCAUAUGCUUUUGAUCUGGGCCGUCCAGCACUUUUGAUUUGGACUAUCCAAUCGCGAUUAAACAGGAAGUGAAUUUGGGCCGUUCAUCGCGAUUCAAUAUGGGUCGUCUGUGCACGAUUCAAUCUGAGCCGUCAGUGCGCGAUUUUAAUCUGGAUCGUUCGUGCGCGCAGGAACAGACCUCAGCCGUUCGAUCAUGCGCACGUAGAUCGCCCACA
rnacentral:lncRNA from 1 species